rnacentral:rRNA from 1 species
UACGUAGGGCGCAAGCGUUGUCCGGAAUUAUUGGGCGUAAAGAGCUCGUAGGCGGCUUGUCACGUCGGUUGUGAAAGCCCGGGGCUUAACCCCGGGUCUGCAGUCGAUACGGGCUAGCUAGAGUGUGGUAGGGGAGAUCGGAAUUCCUGGUGUAGCGGUGAAAUGCGCAGAUAUCAGGAGGAACACCGGUGGCGAAGGCGGGUCUCUGGGCAGUAACUGACGCUGAGGAGCGAAAGCGUGGGGAGCGAACAGG